ACUGAAAAACGUGUUCUAGAUUGAACUCAUGUGUACACAAAGUCCGGUGACGUAGAUCGCAAAUAUGUGUACACAACCAUGUGUUCAAUGACGCUUACUAAAUAGCAGUGUCCCAAACUGUCAAAGCUUGUUAUGAACGGAAGCUAAGAUGAUGGAGUCUGUAGGAAAAAGAAAGUGUCAGAGUCAGAAAAAGAGUCGGCCAGAAGAGGUACAGAGAGAGACUGAAAAUGCAGGGAAAGGCAAAUAAUGAGUGGAAACCUGAAGACAGCGUAACACUUGUGAGGAACAGCACAAAAAGUGGAGAGAACAUAAAAGAAUAUGAACCACAAGUGGCACUGAGUGGAGAGCCCCAGACCAAAGAGGGCCCAGCCAUUAUAAGUCAACCUGAGAAACCACAAGUCGCACUUAGUGGAGAUCCUCAGACCAUAGAGGGCCCAGCCAUUUGAAGAGCCCAAUACCAGAGAGGGCCAAGCCAUUAUAAGAGCUCCAGACCAAAGAGGGCCCAGCCAUUAUAAGUCAACCUGAGGAACCACAAGUCGCACUUAGUGGAGAGCCUCAGAC